CAGAUUGUUUUUAGUUGAAAGAGCUGCAUUUCAGAAAGAGUAAUCAUUCCUGACAUUCUUAUCAGCGAGAAAAAUGAAGUGGGAUUAACGUUUAUGACAUUGUGCGAUCUUUAAUUGAUAUCCUCUGUAUUUGCUUUCACAGCAAGAGAUCUCCCAAUUCAACAACUGUCACAGACAAUUGUCUGGGGACAUUCAGCAACCCAGGGUAUCCUAGCAACCAGGCCAUGUUCGCACAGCAACAACAACAUCAGCAGCUGCAACACUCGGAGUGUGAGGAGAAAAUCCAGAUAUCAGUACCUGAAUGGGCAUUGAACCCAGGACCUCAUUAUCACUAAGCAGACUUUAUAUCCACUCUGCCAAUGCCACCAGAAUCCUUGACGUCAACCCAGUACUCCAUUUGGGGUAAAGCAAUGUGCCCCUAGAUACAAACAUCGUCACAGAUCUCUCUCCAAUGGCUUGAAGCUGUACACAUCUCCAAACACUGCUUCAUAUUAAGCUACCAGCAGUAUCCAUGCAACAAACCCAUUAUUGCCCAGCAACAGCUACAUCAGCAGAAGUGGUCAAUUAAGCCGUCAACCAUGUUUUGGCAGCCAAGGCGCAGUAGUUUGUUGAAACGUUGACCCAUACCUCUCAGAGCAAAUCAGUGGGGUUUGAUGUCGCAGCACAUCAACUCAAAGAGAUCCAUGCGAGGUCAGCCCUCACAACAGUGCCAUACCAUGACAUCCUCCAACUCGCCCUAGUACUCACCUUGGUGUCAGGGAAAGGUUCAAUGUCACAUGGGCCUUGGUGGCCUUUGCAAGAUUGGCAUGUUUGACUGGAGUGAUGGGACAUCUUCCAUUGCAAUUAAGAUCUUGUUGCAAUUAUUUUCUCUUUAAUAAGUCAUUAAUGAAAAUAAUUGCAAUUACAAAAGGAAUACUUAUGCUGCUAUGGAUAAAAAUCUCCAAACAUAUUAACCUGAGAUUGAAGUUGGACUCUUGGCUAUGUUGUGUUUAUUUAGUGUUAACAUUAAUGGAGUUUUUAGACAAAAGUAGAAUGUGGGCGCAUCUGUGAAAUGGUUGCCAGCACUUAUUCUUAGAGGACAUAUGUGUUUUCUCAGAACAUAUCGCCUUACACAGAUAUUUUGAUGAUGUGUGAUAUUUUUCUACUAUAAAAAAUUAUCAUUUUCAUAUCCCAUCCUAUAUUGCCUAAUUGAUGGUUUUGGAUGAUAUUUGGAAAUGAAGAGGUGAAAAAGAAACAAACACUUUUAUACUUCAGUUUUUAUUCACCUAAAGUUUUUUUUAUUUAAACAACAGCCCCAGGAUCAUCAUGACUGUGACUGUUUUUUGCUCUCAGACUCAUUGUUAAAAAACAAACAAAAUGACAAACUGAUGUUAACAACAAUGCAACUUCCUUUUUUCAGACACUAAUCAACACAAUCAAACGGGCCAAUCAGAAAGACAGCCUGUUGCAUCAUGAGUUAGUCAUACCUUGGAAGAUCAGUUAUAAAUAAAAUUUUAACACAUGCUACUUUCUUAGUGCCUGCAUUGGUCGUGUUAUAGCCUCGCCUUCUGUUGUGAACAAUUACAAUAAUGGAAGAUCAGAAUUGUGGGAUGGGUUGGACACGAGUGGCAUAGUUCAAAAUGAAAUUGCAGAAUGAAAGUCAUGUGGCCAACCAUAAGGUAGUGUUGCAUUGUGGCAUGUGACCAGCGAAUACAUUUCAUGUAUUAUGGGCAUUAUAAUGCUGUCAAUGAUUUGAUGUUAAUGAUUUUUGUUAAAUGAAGUCAACAUAGGUAGUAGAAAUGAAGUGAAUAUUAUUUGUUUAAAGCACUUAUAUAAAGAAUUAUUAUUUUAAGCCAAAAAGAAGAAAGUCUUUGUAUUGAUCACUUCUUUAUAUUUAUUAAUACUUAAGAUUCUGAAAUUAUCACUCUUCAUUUUGAUCCAGAUUUUGGAAAAACUUAAAUAAAGAGUUCGCAUAUGCUGACUUUCAGCUUAAGCAAAGUUGUUUAAAUAAUACUAGUAACUUGUACAAAAUGUCAUAUUCAUUGUCUUCUUUUCAUUAAAUAAAACAUAUUUCAG